CAGUCGAGCGGACCGACGGGAGCUUGCUCCCUUAGGUCAGCGGCGGACGGGUGAGUAACACGUGGGUAACCUGCCUGUAAGACUGGGAUAACUCCGGGAAACCGGGGCUAAUACCGGAUGCUUGAUUGAACCGCAUGGUUCAAUCAUAAAAGGUGGCUUUUAGCUACCACUUGCAGAUGGACCCGCGGCGCAUUAACUAGUUGGUGAGGUAACGGCUCACCAAGGCGACGAUGCGUAACCGACCUGAGAGGGUGAUCGGCCACACUGGGACUGAAACACGGCCCAGACUCCUACGGGAGGCAGCAGUAGGGAAUCUUCCGCAAUGGACGAAAGUCUGACGGAACAACGCCGCGUGAGUGAUGAAGGUUUUCGGAUCGUAAAACUCUGUUGUUAGGGAAGAACAAGUACCGUUCGAAUAGGGCGGUACCUUGACGGUACCUAACCAGAAAGCCACGGCUAACUACGUGCCAGCAGCCGCGGUAAUACGUAGGUGGCAAGCGUUGUCCGGAAUUAUUGGGCGUAAAGCGCGCGCAGGCGGUUUCUUAAGUCUGAUGUGAAAGCCCCCGGCUCAACCGGGG
rnacentral:rRNA from 1 species